GCCUAGGUGGCUCAGCUGGUUAAGUGUCUGACUUCGGCUCAGGUCAUGAUCUCAUGGCUCGUGAGUUCGAGCCUCACGUCAGGCU
rnacentral:tRNA from 1 species